CGUGGGUGAAGAAGGCCUUCGGGUUGUAAAGCCCUUUCGGUGGNGACGAAACGGUGCGUGCCAAUACCACGCACUACUGACGGUACCCACAGAAGAAGCACCGGCUAACUACGUGCCAGCAGCCGCGGUAAUACGUAGGGUGCGGGCGUUAAUCGGAAUUACUGGGCGUAAAGCGUGCGCAGGCGGUUUGCUAAGACAGGUGUGAAAUCCCCGAGCUUAACUUGGGAACUGCGCUUGUAACUGGCAAGCUGGAGUGUGGCAGAGGGGGGUGGAAUUCCACGUGUAGCAGUGAAAUGCGUAGAGAUGUGGAGGAACACCGAUGGCGAAGGCAGCCCCCUGGGCUAACACUGACGCUCAUGCACGAAAGCGUGGGGAGCAAACAGGAUUAGAUACCCUGGUAGUCCACGCCCUAAACUAUGUCAACUGGUUGUCGGGGAAGCAAUUCCUUGGUAACGAAGCUAACGCCGUGAAGUUGACCGCCUGGGGAGUACGGGCGCAAGGGUAAAACUCAAAGGAAUUGACGGGGACCCGCACAAGCGGUGGAUUAUGUGGAUUAAUUCGAUGCAACGCGAAAAACCUUACCUACCCUUGACAUGUACGGAACCCUCCAGAGAUGGAGGGGUGCCCCGAAA
rnacentral:rRNA from 1 species